rnacentral:rRNA from 1 species
AGUCGAGCGAGACCUUCGGGUCUAGCGGCGGACGGGUUAGUAACGCGUGGGAACGUGCCCUUCUCUGCGGAAUAGCCACUGGAAACGGUGAGUAAUACCGCAUACGCCCUUCGGGGGAAAGAUUUAUCGGAGAAGGAUCGGCCCGCGUUAGAUUAGAUAGUUGGUGGGGUAACGGCCUACCAAGUCUACGAUCUAUAGCUGGUUUUAGAGGAUGAUCAGCAACACUGGGACUGAGACACGGCCCAGACUCCUACGGGAGGCAGCAGUGGGGAAUCUUAGACAAUGGGCGCAAGCCUGAUCUAGCCAUGCCGCGUGUGCGAUGAAGGUCUUAGGAUCGUAAAGCACUUUCACCAGGGAUGAUAAUGACAGUACCUGGUAAAGAAACCCCGGCUAACUCCGUGCCAGCAGCCGCGGUAA